rnacentral:misc_RNA from 1 species
AAAAUAAUCCUACCCUUUGUGAAUUUUGUUUGUUUGAAUAAUUUUUUUUUUUAAAAAAUUAUUGGAGUCUUUCCCUUUAGAGUUUGCUUUGAGUUUGUAAAAGAAUUCGAAAACAUCUAAAGGGGAUGGUCAAUAAUUUUUUUGAAAAAAGACAUUUUUUAAAAUUAAACUUUUUGUAUUCAUUUGUCUAAAAAUUAUUUUUAUAAUAUAAAAACAACUUUUGACAAUGGAUCUCUUGGUUCUCGCAACGAUGAAGAACGCAGCAAAAUGCGAUAAGUAGUGUGAAUUGCAGAAUACGUGAAUCAUCGAAUCUUUGAACGCAUAUUGCACUUUUUUAGUUUACUAAAAAAGUAUGUCUGUUUGAGUAUCAGUAAAAUAUUCUCAUAAAAAUCAUUGUGUAUUUUUAUGGUUAUGAGUGUUUUACAACGAUACAAGUUGUUUCACUUUAAAUUUUUUUUUAAUAUUGAAAUUUUUCUAAUUUUAAUAAUUAAAAUUGGAUAAAAUUUUCCCGUCAAAAGGAAUAACCUAAACAAUUUUAAACGAUUAAUUUUAGCAAAAUUUUCGUAAAAAAGGAAAAUUUUUAUUAAAAUAACUUGAUCUCAAAUCAGAUAUGAGUACCCGCUGAACUUAAGCAUAUCAAUAAGCGGAGGAAAAGAAACUAACAAGGAUUCCCUUAGUAACGGCGAGUGAAGCGGGAAGAGCUCAAAUUUGAAAUCUUCAAGGUUUUACCUUGACGAAUUGUAGUUUAAAGAAGUGUUUUCUGCUGAAGUUUUGGUAAAAGUUCUUUGGAAUAGGACAUCAUAGAGGGUGAGAAUCCCGUAUUUGACCAUUAUUUUCAGCUUUGUGAUACACUUUCAAAGAGUCGGAUUGUUUGGGAAUGCAGUCCAAAAUGGGUGGUAAAUUUCAUCUAAAGCUAAAUAUUGGCGAGAGACCGAUAGCGAACAAGUACCGUGAGGGAAAGAUGAAAAGAACUUUGAAAAGAGAGUUAAACAGUACGUGAAAUUGUCAAAAGGGAAGCGUUUGACACCAGUGUUGUUUUCUCGAAAAUCAAUUAAAAAUGGCUCGAUUUUGUAUUGCUGAGACCUUAAAAGCUCACUGUACAUUUUUCGUGUCUUUUUUAAUGCACUUUUCGUUUAACAAGUCAACAUCAGUUUCUUUUGUUGUAAAAGGGUCAUUGGAAGGUGGCUUUCUUUUCGGAGAAAGUGUUUAUAGCCUUUGGCCUCUGCAAUCGGAGAGACUGAGGUCUGCAGCGUAGACUCUUCGGGGUUAGAUACAUUUGUGCUAAGUUAUAGCUUUUUAUAGACAACUUGUUGACUAUAAUUAGUCUUGUAGCUUACUCGCUUAUGCUAUUU